GAUGAACGCUAGCGGCAGGCCUAACACAUGCAAGUCGAGGGGUAGAGUUCUUCGGGACUUGAGACCGGCGCACGGGUGCGUAACGCGUAUGCAAUCUACCUUAUACAGGGGAAUAGCCCCAGAGAAAUUUGGAUUAAUGCCCCAUAGUGUUAUCGAAUCGCAUGGUUUGAUAACUAAAGUUCCAACGGUAUAAGAUGAGCAUGCGUCCCAUUAGUUAGUUGGUAAGGUAACGGCUUACCAAGACAAUGAUGGGUAGGGGUCCUGAGAGGGAGAUCCCCCACACUGGUACUGAGACACGGACCAGACUCCUACGGGAGGCAGCAGUGAGGAAUAUUGGUCAAUGGGCGCAAGCCUGACCAGCCAUGCGCGUGCAGGAAGACGGUCCUAUGGAUUGUAAACUGCUUUAUACAGGAAGAACACUACCUCGUGAGGGAACUUGACGGUAC
rnacentral:rRNA from 1 species